CUAUUGUUGUUUCUGAUGAGCUUGAGUCUCUGUGCACGGAGGUACAACGUCCGAACAAAUUCUUAUGCCUCAAAAAAUUGCCUUUUUUGUGGCCUGAAAUUGAUAUCAGCUGAAGGGGUUGCCAUUAAUUCGUGACCGUCCUUAGGUUCUACUGGCAGAGGAGCGUAAUACCCUUGCAGCAAGUCCAGCCAAUCCACCACUGAAAUUAUAU